GUCACCUUGUCAUUCAGACUCCGGCAUAGCCUAUCACCUUAUCUUUCAGACUCUGGCUCAGCUGAGACUCGCUACACAUUUUCGACUGGUGAACUGGCUCUGAUACCAAAUAUAAUGACCCAGCCCACUAGCAACAAUAACUUGUUGGGCCCAACCACCGGCCCAAAAUGCUUAAGCCCAAUUAUUAUUACUAGUGUCUAAGUCUCUUAUAUACCAAAUCACAUCCCCAUUCAUAUCUGAUGUGGGAUUA
rnacentral:lncRNA from 1 species